AACGAACGCUGGCGGCGCGUCUUAAACAUGCAAGUCGAACGGCAGGAAGGGGCUUGCCCCUUCUGAGAGUGGCGGACUGGUGAGUAACACGUGGGUGACAUACCUUUUAGUUGGGGAUAGCUAUUAGAAAUAGUAGGUAAUACCGAAUGUGACCGUACCUGUUAGAGGGGUACGAGGAAAGGAGCUAAGGCUUCGCUAAAAGAAUGGCUCGCGGCCCAUUAUGCUCGUUGGUGAGGUAACGGCCCACCAAGGCGAUGAUGGGUAUCCGGCCUGAGAGGGUGAACGGACACAUUGGGACUGAGAUACGGCCCAGACUUCUACGGGAGGCAGCAGUUAAGAAUAUUCCGCAAUGGACGAAAGUCUGACGGAGCGACGCCGCGUGGAUGAAGAAUGCCGAAAGGUUGUAAAAUCCUUUUAAGCCUGAUGAAUAAGCACAGUAGGGAAUGAUUGUGCGGUGACAGUAGGGCUUGAAUAAGCACCGGCUAAUUACGU
rnacentral:rRNA from 1 species